rnacentral:lncRNA from 1 species
UUAUCCCGGUUAUCCCGGUUUAUCCUCACUCACUUCCUGCUCCGCCGGCUGCUGUCAACACCUCGCGCUUUACAGCACGGCCGUCGCAAAAGCCGCUGUCGCAAAAACCUCUGCGGUUGCGUCUCGCUUGGCGGCGCGGGGGAACUACAACUCCCGGCGUGCCCCGCGGGCAGGGAAAAGGCGGGAAAAACGUGAGGGGGACAGUGGGCAGAAUGCACUGAGGUGGAAAAUGGGGUGGAAAUCGGAGAAAAUUCCACGAUUUUCACCUCAGGCCCGGAGGGAUUGAGGCUUUCUGUUGCGGUUGUGCCUCUGGGGCAGCUGGGGGAUAUUGACUGGGCUGACGGGGUAGAGGACUGGGGGGGAAAAAUGGCUGCUGGGACCUGAGGGGAAACAGGAGGGUACGAGAGGAGUGGCAAUAAUGGAGAGCUGGGGUAAUGUGGGGCUACUCCUUGUCCCUCUCAGGUAGCACCAGGAUGGGGAAGCGUAGGACCCACACACUCCCAGGCGACAGGAAAUUCCACGCUCCCAAAGCCAAGCGGAUCCUUCGGGAAGCUCCAGGAGCUGCCGGCUCAGCCGUGCCCGUUCCUUCCCUGAGCAGCGAUCCCUGUGGAGAUCCUGCCAAGGUGGAGUCCCAGGCGAGGCUGGAUCCCCUCAGAUCCAAUCCUGGGGAAUUUGCUGGGUCCAACAGCAGGAACAAGGUGGAUCCAGAGGGAAUCCCUGUGGGAGAGCACAGAGCCGGAUCCCGGCAGGAAGGAAGAGACAAGGAGAUUGGAGGCAACAGAGCACUAGGAUCACCCAAACAGAGCAUUUCCAAUGGGAUGGAAGAGAAUCUUCUGGAAUUGCCACAGCUGGGAAUUUUGGAAGAGAAUGGGACAGGAGAGGAUGAGCUGGAGUCACCAAAAGCAGGAAUUCUGGAUGGGGCAGGAGAGAAUUGUCCAGAAUCACCAAAA